AAACAAGUGGUAGUCGGAUGGCGCAAUAUCAGGAGAAUAUGGUGGAUGGUAUAAGAGAUCCCAGCCAAGUUCAUGUAACUUUGUUUGGGUAGCCAAAGACACGUUGUCGGGCAUUGUCUUGUUGGAACACUACCACUUUCCUAUUGACAAUCUCUGGUCUCAAUUCUUAGAUUUUUGGUUCAAAUUAGCCAGCUGACAACAGUACACAUCAGAAUUAAUGGUCUGGUUUUGUGGGAGAAGCUCAUAAUAAAUAAAGCCUUUAUGAUCCCACUAAACACAAAGCAUAGCUUUUUUGGCAUGGAUAUUCAUCUUUGCUUGCUGUUUUGAGGGAUCCUUACUCAAACUCCAGGAUCUUUUUCGCAUUACGCUUUUGUACACAAUCCAUUUUCCAUCUCCACUCACAAAUUUUUUUUUAAAAAGGACAA